rnacentral:rRNA from 1 species
UCAGGAUGAACGCUGGCGGCGUGCCUAAUACAUGCAAGUCGAACGGGAGUGCUGCACUCCGAGUGGCGAACGGGUGAGUAACACGUAGGUAAUCUAGCAUUAAGACGAGGAUAGCUUCUAGAAAUGGGAGAUAAUACUGGAUAGGAAAUUUUCCUGCAUGGGGAAAUUUUUUAAAGAUUUAUCGCUUAAUGGGGAGCCUGCGGUGCAUUAGCUAGAUGGUGAGGGUAACGGCCCACCAUGGCGAUGAUGCAUAGCCGGUCUGAGAGGACGAACGGCCACAUUGGGACUGAGAACGGCCCAAACUCCUACGGGAGGCAGCAGUAGGGAAUUUUCGGCAAUGGGCGGAAGCCCUGACCGAGCAACGCCGCGUGAUUGAAGAAGUAUUUCGGUAUGUAAAAUCUUUUAUUUGGGACGAAAAAAUCAAAAUUGACGGUACCAAAUGAAUAAGCCCCGGCUAACUACGUGCCAGCAGCGGC